UACAGAGGGUGCGAGCGUUAAUCGGAAUUACUGGGCGUAAAGCGCACGUAGGUGGCGACGUAAGUCGGGUGUGAAAGCCCCGGGCUCAACCUGGGAAUUGCAUUCGAGACUGCAUUGCUGGAGUACGGAAGAGGAAGGCGGAAUUCCCGGUGUAGCGGUGAAAUGCGUAGAGAUCCGGAGGAACACCAGUGGCGAAGGCGACACGCUGGGCCGUACCUGACACUAAAACGCGACAGCAUGGGGAGCGAACGGG
rnacentral:rRNA from 1 species